rnacentral:lncRNA from 1 species
AUGUACUACAAAUUUAGUGGCUUCACGUUUGAGUUGGUGGGAGCAUGGACUUCAGAGGCCUAUAGCCCAUAAGGAUUAAUGCCUGUGGUUUCCACAGAAGCACCACCUAUCAUAUUUGCCAUACCAACUAAGCUGACUUCUGAUUCCACUGCAUAUAAUUUUGCUAGGAAAAACAAAGUUCCAGAGCUGCAGAAGUUUCUCCAGAAAGCUGAUGAUGUGCCCAUCCACCUGAAAUGAGGCUUCCCUGACCAAAUGCUAUACUGGACCACCAUGGUGCUGACUGUGGGUGGGAUACUGCCUGAUCACCCUCUACAUGGCUUCACAGCCCCAAAACA